CUUUAAUCUCAUAUGACGUCCCACCCAUCUGUACCCCAAAGUGAAGUAAAGUGAAGGUAGUUUUAAUGGUUGAUCCUGACGUCAAUGAAUCACUGGACUACUAUUAAAGAAGUUUUUAGUGCGAGCAAGUGUGUAUACUACUAUGAGUUCGAGUGUGAUCGGAGCUUAUGAUUUUCUAAAUGCCGAAAACAACACGAAGUGGAGUGGCUGGCUACAACCAGGUCUCCGUAAGAUCCAGAAGCAAGUUCAGCCUCGCCUGGAAAUUAAUGAUGAUGCACUCGCUUAUCUAGAACGCAUGGUCUUCAGACUCCUUGCUCAGAUGUGUGCCUCUCAGCCACAUACACUCGCUGAUGUUGAGUCGUAUGUUCAGAAAAAUUUUGCCACUCCCAUUGAUACUUGGGCACUGAGUGAUGCCAAGAUGUUGAUGGAAAGAGCUCAAAAAAAGAAAGUGUUGUUUGUGUUCCCAGUGGACAAGAUGUUUCCUCAACUGCAGAAAGAAGUGUUUGGUUACAAGAUAGAGCUGAAUUUGGUUCAGUUUAUCAUGGCUAUUUUGGACUAUGUCUCUGCUGACAUACUUAAGUUGGCUGGUAAUUUUGUCAAGAACACCAGGCGAGCUGCUGUCUACAUACAGGCCAGUGACAUUAACGUGUCAAUGUCUGCUGAUCCUGCAUUGCAAGCAUUGUUCCAACCUCUUCAAGGCCAGAGAGAACCAGUUAAUGCUCACCCUCUCCAGCCCUCUGAGAAACGGAAGAGCUUAUGCUAUGAUGAUGUUCUGCGUGAAACAGUAGACAAUGAGAAGCAGUACAUCCGUCAUCUCAACCUCAUUCUAAAAGUGUUCUUGGAGCCAUUUCUCAACCUUUUCCCAGAUCCAGAGUUGCAGCAGAUAGUGAUAAACUUGCAGGAGCUUCACGAGAUAUCUGCUCAGCUAGUUGGCUCGCUGGAAGAGUGUAUUGAAAUGUCAGGGGAGGAUGGUGAACAGGGGGCACCACAAGCUGGGUUUAUAUUCGAGGAGAUUGCUGAGUCAUAUGAGCUUGAAGUAUACAUUCGCUAUGCUGAGAACUACAUGAUGGCCAAAACCCGUCUUGAGGAGAUGGUAGACCACCCUGACGUUGUGGAACAUUUCAAGACUCAGCCUAUCAGUUGUCUCAAGGAGGCUAUGAAGUACAUCCUACCCAAGUGCCUGGAUGAGCCUUGUUACCACUGCUUCCACUACUUUGACGCCAUUGAGUCUCUGUUUCAACUGUCACCUGAUGCUGAGGACCAAGAUGCACUGGGUUCGGCUAUCAGUGUAAUGUUAGGACUCAAAAGAGAUAUGGAUAGUGUGUGCUCUCGAUUCCUUAAAAAAAGAAGCCGAGAUGAUAGUGGGAUGUUCUUCGGGAAACGACAGGGUUAUCAGGUGGUCUCAAAGCAGCUCACUAUGAUACAGCAGAAAAUUGAAGGGUGGGAGGGGCCAGAUAUCCUCAACUGUUGUACAGAGUUCAUUAUGGAAGGGGCACUGGGAGUCAUGAGAGAAGGCAGGGGAAAACCCAAAGAUAAAAGUGAUCGCCAUGUGUUCUUAUUGGAUGGUCUGAUUAUCUGCUGCAAAAGCAAGAACAAAGGUGGAGUAGGCUUAAAGGAGAAAAUUAGCAUGAGGAAGGUGAAACUGGCUGACCUGGAGGACACAGAUGAGCUCAAGUAUGCGUUCUCCCUACAAGACCAGUUUCAGCCAGGGUUGAUUUUUUUCGCUAUCUCCAAAAUAGAAAAGAAUGACUGGAUGGCCCUCCUCACACACCUGGUGACUCGAAGCACCUUUGAUAGACUCUUGGAUAUCAAACUACGGGAGGAGGAGAGGAGCAUCCCUCCAUUGAGACCCUCAUCCUCUCAUUACCAGUUUGCAGAGGAAGACAGUGAAUGCAAUAUCAUGUUUGAUGAGAAAGACGGAAGUUCCACUUUGGGCGGUCAAGGUCCACUUAUCAAGGCUGGAACGAUCUACAAGCUAGUGGAGAGACUCACCUACCAUGAGUAUGCGGACCCCACAUUUGUGCGAACGUUUCUGAUGACGUACAGAUCAUUCAGCAAGCCUAGUGAGCUGCUCGAGCUGCUGAUUUUUCGCUAUCAAAUUCCGAACCCCGCGGAGAGUGAGGAUAUGGAGGCCAAGAGGGACCCCAACAUGAUGAAAGCCCUUAAACAAUGCAAAGACAACUAUAUCUACCCCAUUCAACUCAGAGUGCUGAAUGUUCUUCGACACUGGGUGGAGUUCCACUUCUAUGACUUUGAGAGAAAACCUGAGCUACUAGACAAACUCAAACAGUUUGUUGACGAUGUCAAGUCCAAGAAACUUCAGAAAUGGGUCUCAUCAAUUCACAGAUCACUACAGAAACAUGAAGAUGAAGAAAAGGCCCCUGUAGCCAAGCCUGUGUUUGACAGAGAGCCUGAACCUCUCGAAUGGCACAUUGCCAAGCCCAACGACAUCAACGAAUACUCAAUCCUCACUCUCCACCCAGUUGAGGUUGCUCGUCAGAUUACUCUAAUACAGUACAACUACUUCAAAGCUAUUCAUCCCUCUGAGUUGGUGGAUGCUUCUUGGAUGAAAGAGCAAAAAAAGGAGCAGGCUUCACCAAACCUACUCAAACUCAACAGAUUUGAAACCACUGUGUCCAACUGGCUGAGUGAAGACAUUGUAUUUACCGAAAAUUUUGAGGAGAGGGUUGCUCUUGUGUCAAGGCUAGUAGAUAUUAUGGAGGCUCUGCUGAAUCUGAACAAUUUUGCUGGCAUGUUUGUCAUUAAUGCUGCUCUUGAAUCAGCUUCUGUAUUCAGACUCAAACACACUCUCAAGGGUCUGCACACCAAAAGGCAACAGACGUUGGAAGACAUGAAAAAGAUAGCGUCUAGUGAGAGGGGAUUUAAGAAGUACAAGGACAAGUUGAGGAACGUCGAUCCUCCCUGUGUUCCUUUUCUCGGGAUGUAUAUGACCUGGAUCGUCUUCAUCAAAGACGGGAACGAGGACAAAAUCCAUGGCAUGCCUGACAACUUCAUAAACUUCAAAAAAAGAAGAAAAAUUGCUGAUGUGCUACAAGAAAUACAACAGUUCCAGAACACACCGUACUGUUUGACGCCAGAAGCUGCCAUUCAGAAAUACAUUUUGGCUCAGGACCCAUUAGGAAUCUUGAGUGCCAACCAUUGGGAAGAGAAGCUAUUUGAUCAAUCUCGUUCAAUUGAGCCUAAAGACGGACCUGUCAAGACAGCAAUCUAUUUGCGUCAAAAUUCUCUCUUUUCAUCGAGUAUCUAACGCUGUUAAUUGAAUAUCAUCCGUACCAGGAGCUCAGAUAGAGUAUCCAACUAAGCCUCUCCUUUUUCUGUUCUUUGUCACACUGUCAAUAAGAUAAAAUACGGUAAGAAUUGGAGGAACAAAGAAAGAAAGAAAGAACCGUCUAAGAAAAAGGAGAGCCCUGCCUCGCUAAGUCGCGUGAGGUGGCACAGUGGUGGCACAGUGAAAAUGAGCGUGGGCUUUCAGUAGAUGGGCGGAGCCUGACAGGCAACAAAGCCACAGGAUGCCUACGCAUUGUAGACUUACUUUGCAAGUCUGGCAAAGUAAGGAGAUAAUUAUUAUCAUAGACAAUGGCUUUAAUUACGGUGAGUUCACAGAGUACGAUUGACCUUCGCUAGUAGACAGUACGAUUGACCUUCGCUAGUGGACAGUACCUUCGCUAGUGGAGAGUACAAUUGACCUUUGCUAGUGGACAGUACGAUUAACCUUCGCUAGUGGAGAGUAAAAGUGACCUUCGCUAGUAGGUAGUACAAUAAACCUUUGCUAGUAGAGAGUAGGAUUAACCUUCGCUAGUGGAGAGUUCAUUUUUUCUAGUAAAAGCUCACCUAGCUAAAAACUUUUACCUAGGUAUGUAGGGGGGUGCUGACCUUAUAUUUGACCUUUGCUACACACCGAUGCUUAGUCUCAUGCACCUUUGGUGUCCGUCUGAGCACUCUUUACAUGAACUCAUGGGCCACGUCGGAUUUCCAAUGUGACCAAUGAGAUUGCUCACAAGCAUCAGGUGACUUGAAUAGGAGGCAGCAAAUAGUGAAACUUUACAUGCGGUUGAGCAGCAAUCAGUGAGCAGAGAUAGCGGAUGUGGUUGCAUUUUUAUGGUUUUGUUAGCUUGUACAGUGACGUAAUACAUUCCAUUGUGAAAUGACUUCACGUAAAGAGUGCUCAGACUAACACCAAAGGUGCGGCUGAUUCAUGAGACUAACCGAUGCUAUAUUAUAUUAAAGAGCCAUGCAUAGCCUGCUUUGGAAAGCAGGCACAACACUAGCCUAUAGUAGGUUACAGUUGGAACAGCUACAUGUUCUACUCUGGACUUCAAUCUGGCAAAAUAAAAAUAGUCCACUCAACACUGAACAGCCCUAGAGUAGAACAUGGAAUUAUGCUACUACAACAAAUCCUACAUGUACUAGAAACAUCAGCACACAAAUAA